UACGUAGGGUGCGAGCGUUAAUCGGAAUUACUGGGCGUAAAGGGUGCGCAGGCGGUUUUGUAAGCCAGAUGUGAGAGCCCCGGGCUUAACCUGGGAAUGGCAUUUGGGACUGCAAGGCUAGAGUGUGGCAGAGGAGACUGGAAUUCCUGGUGUAGCAGUGAAAUGCGUAGAUAUCAGGAGGAAUACCGAUGGCGAAGGCAGGUCUCUGGGCUGACACUGACGCUCAUGCACGAAAGCGUGGGGAGCAAACAGG
rnacentral:rRNA from 1 species